GAUGAACGCUGGCGGCGUGCCUAAUACAUGCAAGUCGAGCGAACAGACGAGGAGCUUGCUCCUCUGACGUUAGCGGCGGACGGGUGAGUAACACGUGGAUAACCUACCUAUAAGACUGGGAUAACUUCGGGAAACCGUAGCUAAUACCGGAUAAUAUAUUGAACCGCAUGGUUCAAUAGUGAAAGACGGUUUUGCUGUCACUUAUAGAUGGAUCCGCGCCGCAUUAGCUAGUUGGUAAGGUAACGGCUUACCAAGGCAACGAUGCGUAGCCGACCUGAGAGGGUGAUCGGCCACACUGGAAGUGAGACACGGUCCAGACUCCUACGGGAGGAAGCAGUAGGGAAUCUUACGCAAUGGGCGAAAGCUUGACGGAGCAACGCCGCGUGAGUGAUGAAGGUCUUCGGAUCGUAAAACUCUGUUAUUAGGGAAGAACAAAUGUGUAAGUAACUAUGCACGUCUUGACGGUACCUAAUCAGAAAGCCACGGCUAACUACGUG
rnacentral:rRNA from 1 species